AUGCUCGCUUCGGCAGCACAUCUACUAGAAUUGGAAGGAUACAGAGAAGAUUAGCGUGGUCCCUGAGCAAGGAUGACACACAAAUUUGUGAAGCGUUCCAUGUUAAA